GAAAUGCGAUAAGUAAUGUGAAUUGCAGAAUUCAGUGAAUCAUCGAAUCUUUGAACGCACAUUGCGCCCUCUGGUAUUCCGGAGGGCAUGCCUGUUCGAGCGUCAUUUCAACCCUCAAGCCUGGCUUGGUGAUGGGGCGCUGCCCGCGAGAGCGGGCAGGCCCUGAAAUACAGUGGCGAGCUCGCCAGGACCCCGAGCGUAGUAGUAAAACCCUCGCUGUGGAAAGUCCUGGUGUGGCCCGGCCGUAAAACACCCAACUUACGAAAAAUUGACCUCGGAUCAGGUAGGAAUACCCGCUGAACUUAA
rnacentral:misc_RNA from 1 species